UACGAAGGGGGCUAGCGUUGCUCGGAAUUACUGGGCGUAAAGGGCGCGUAGGCGGCACUGUUAGUCAGGCGUGAAAGUCCUGGGCUCAACCUGGGAACUGCGCUUGAUACGGCAGAGCUAGAGGAUGGAAGAGGGUCGCGGAAUUCCCAGUGUAGAGGUGAAAUUCGUAGAUAUUGGGAAGAACACCGGUGGCGAAGGCGGCGACCUGGUCCAUUACUGACGCUGAGACGCGAAAGCGUGGGGAGCAAACAGG
rnacentral:rRNA from 1 species